UGAAGUUUGAUUUUGUCAAAAAUUAUAGUGGACAAAAGUCACAUUUUAAGUGGAACACCAAGUAUAUCGUCUAAAAUAAUUAUUCAACCAACAGCCCGAUAUUUCAGACUUCUUGUGUUGAUGUUAGCAGUUUGUGUUCACGAAACUGAUGCUAUUACAGCUAAUGGAGGACCAGGCCGUAAAUUCAAAUCUUUUGGACUUCAGGAAGAUAUGGAAGUGGAUAUAAUACUGGAAAAGAGGAGUUUGGAUGAGUUGAGCGAGGACAGUUUGGAACUAUUCGAUAAUCUUCUGGAAGACCUCAACUAGAAAAACUUCAUCGAUGCAUAUUUAACUUAUUUGACUACCGUAAUUUAUUAGACUAAAACACCGUAAAACUGGAAUAUUUUAAUUAUUUUCAAGUUUAAUCAUGUAUCUAGAUAACCACGAUUUUAAAUAUUUUAUUGUCCGAGCAUCUUAAAAAAACAUUUCUAUAGCUGUUAUAGAUGUGUUUUGCUAAUUUACUAACUUAUCGGCUAAACCUCAUUCUAAUUAUAACAUUAGCUAUUAAUUAUAACAUUAUGAUACUUGCUAAAGAUAACACUUAGAUGUUUGAAAUUCCAUUUCACCAAUUAUUUGUUCUGAAACAUUAAAAAACUUUCAUCAACAUUAAAAAA